ensembl:snRNA U6 U6 spliceosomal RNA
UACAGCAGCACAUAUACUAUACUAGAACUGGAAUGAUACAGAGAAGAUUAGCAUGGCCCUUGCAAAAGGUUGACCUGCAAAUCUGUGAAGCAUUCCAUAUUUUU